CCUUGAAAUUCUGCACAUUUCCUCAGUUGAAAACUUUUUUCUAGCUCUUUUCCUCGCCGAGUUACGCCUCAUUAAAGUUUCAAAGGCGAGAGAGUGUGGGGGAGAGGGAGACGCAGACGACGAUGGUGUCUGCGUCUCCCUCCUCCCUGUGCUCUUUCCCACUGUUUCUUUGAAGGCGCAUAACUCCGCGGGGAAUAGGGCUGUGAAAAAAAUUUC
ensembl:ncRNA Y92C3A.4 ncRNA